GACGAACGCUGGCGGCGUGCUUAACACAUGCAAGUCGAACGGUGAAGCCUUUCGGGGUGGAUCAGUGGCGAACGGGUGAGUAACACGUGAGCAACCUGCCCCAGACUCUGGGAUAACUCCGGGAAACCGGUGCUAAUACCGGAUAUGUGACGCUUGGGCAUCUGAUGCGUCUGGAAAGAUUUUUUGGUCUGGGAUGGGCUCGCGGCCUAUCAGCUUGUUGGUGGGGUAAUGGCCUACCAAGGCGACGACGGGUAGCCGGCCUGAGAGGGCGACCGGCCACACUGGGACUGAGACACGGCCCAGACUCCUACGGGAGGCAGCAGUGGGGAAUAUUGCGCAAUGGGCGAAAGCCUGACGCAGCGACGCCGCGUGAGGGAUGAAGGCC
rnacentral:rRNA from 1 species